rnacentral:rRNA from 1 species
AUUGAACGCUGGCGGCAUGCUUUACACAUGCUAGUCGAACGGUAACAGGUUAAGCUGACGAGUGGCGAACGGGUGAGUAAUGCAUCGGAACGUGCCCGGUCGUGGGGGAUAACGCAGCGAAAGCUGCGCUAAUACCGCAUACGAUCUGAGGAUGAAAGCGGGGGACCGUAAGGCCUCGCGCGAUCGGAGCGGCCGGUGUCAGAUUAGGUAGUUGGUGGGGUAAAGGCUCACCAAGCCAACGAUCUGUAGCUGGUCUGAGAGGGCGACCAGCCACACUGGGACUGAGACACGGCCCAGACUCCUACGGGAGGCAGCAGUGGGGAAUUUUGGACAAUGGGCGAAAGCCUGAUCCAGCAAUGCCGCGCGCAGGAAGAAGGCCUUCGGGUUGUAAACUGCUUUUGUACGGAGCGAAAAGGUCUCCUCUAAUACAGGGGGCUCAUGACGGUACCGUAAGAAUAAGCACCGGCUAACUACGUGCCAGCCGCCGCGGUAA